AUGACACGGGUGGCUAGGGACCUGAAGAUUUGGAGCAAAUCGUUGUUCAACAGUGCACGCCUGCAGGUACACCUUGCUAUAGAAAUUGUCCUGAGAUUGGACAUAGCCCAAGAAAGUAGGACCCUCUCCGAUGAUGAGUUCCACUUACGGAAGGCUCUCAAGCUACGGAUUUUAGGCCUCGUUGCAGUAGAGCGAGCUCGAAAAAGGCAGGCGUCCCGCAACACCUGGUUGCGGGCUGGCGAUGCACCAACUGCCUUCUUCCAGGCAAAGAUCAAUUCUAGAGCUUGAAAAAAUUUCAUACAUACUCUGCAUGGGCCAGCGGGUGUAGUCACUGCACAUGAAGACAAAGAGAAGCUGAUUCAUGAUCAUUUCCGCUCCCUGUUGGGAACGACAGAGCACCGGGGCACCACCAUCAAUUGGACCUCACUUCAACUGCCACAAAUUCAAGGCGGAGUCUUGGAAAACCCCUUCACAAAAGAAGAAGUUUGGCUUGCGAUCAAAUCCUCCCCGGCUGAGCGAUCGUCGGGACUAGAUGGCUUCUUGGGCAUUUUCUUCAGAUCCUGCUAG
rnacentral:rRNA from 1 species